rnacentral:tRNA from 1 species
ACAAAAAUUCAUAAAAAUUUGAUUUUUAUAAAGGCACAAGUGCCUUGUUUUU